ACGAACGCUGGCGGCGUGCUUAACACAUGCCGGUCGAACGGAAAGGCCCUGCUUUUGUGGGGUGCUCGAGUGGCGAACGGGUGAGUAACACGUGAGUAACCUGCCCUUGACUUUGGGAUAACUUCAGGAAACUGGGGCUAAUACCGGAUAGGAGCUCCUGCUGCAUGGUGGGGGUUGGAAAGUUUCGGCGGUUGGGGAUGGACUCGCGGCUUAUCAGCUUGUUGGUGGGGUAGUGGCUUACCAAGGCUUUGACGGGUAGCCGGCCUGAGAGGGUGACCGGCCACAUUGGGACUGAGAUACGGCUCAGACUCCUACGGGAGGCAGCAGUGGGGAAUAUUGCACAAUGGGCGGAAGCCUGAUGCAGCAACGCCGCGUGCGGGAUGACGGCCUUCGGGUUGUAAACCGCUUUCGCCUGUGACGAAGCGUGAGUGACGGUAAUGGGUAAAGAAGCACCGGCUAACUACGUG
rnacentral:rRNA from 1 species